ensembl:lncRNA
CAAAGAAAAAGAAACCUCAAAUAGAAAUAACAGGAGUGUUAGGAAAAGAGAUAAAAUGAACCUGCACAUCUUUAUACCAAAGCAGUAAGAUUCACUUAUUGAGAGAGUAGGGAUGGACAGCUCCAUUAUAGGAAAGGCUUAAAGGCUUCUGUACCACAGGAUCUUCACGUUGUCCUUCAAAAGUCUUCCAGGAUGCUAUGAUUUAGAUACCCGUCCCAAAUAGUUAAAUAAUGUCUGUCCGAAGAAACAGCUCUGAAGAAUGGCAGCUCUCCUUUGUCUGAGCCAAUGAUCGCACAAAAUCUAAAGGCACCGAUUGCAAAGGCAACUGGGGCAUCCUUACAAUUACCCUGACAAAAUACAGCAGUUUCACAUGAUUUCCUCUGCCCUUAUGCUGCUUCUUAAGCCCCUCAAGACUUACGAGCCAUUCCUAUUCUCCAUAGCUGAGACUCCAGCUUUCUUCCAGAUAAGCUCUACAAAACAGUUCCACACGCCCUACACAUAAAUCUGUGCAACCUUGCAAGUCGAUCAUGCGGGGACAACAUGAAAUAAGUGGAAAUGAAUAUCAGGUUGACACAGAGGAGAUUGUACUUGAGUGUAUUAUUCAUUUCCAUAUUUAAUUCAUUACAUUCUCCCAUCUUCUUUUCUCUUUUUUUUUUUUUUUUUUUUUUUAAUUCUCAAUUAAUAUGAAGCUGCAACACAUUUUCCAGCCUGCUGUGCUGGAACACUGCAGUGUUAAGGGAUUCUGUGGUUAAAUGUAAUACCUUGUUGCCAUAUUGUGCACUAGGCCUUUGUCCUCAGGAAACUGACAGCUUCAAGUUAGAUAACAACUAGUAAAUCAUCAUCUUUGCUAUGGUGUUCAGGAAACCUUUCUUUCAAGGGAUUAACAACUUAUCUGACCACCCACUUCAGAGGUCUCCUCCUAAAUCUCUGACCUUCCUGAUACUGCAAUUUUUUGACCUGCUUUUCAAGUUGGAAGAGGAUAUUUGUCUGGGAGGUCUGAGCAGGGUGUGAAAAACAGAAGAGGUAUAGAUCAGAAAGAGAAAAAGAUGGCUUUUCUGGUGGAAACCAGAAGCCAACCUGAUUUUGUACUUCAGCAAUAGUCAUUCAUUAUUGUCUAGGGGUUAAACUUGCUUGGAAAGCCCAUGGGAGGAAGCCUAAACUGGUUGGUUGCCGGGAUUGGAUAAGAUGACUUAACACAAUGUGUUUUCUUUUCCAGUCUUGAUUCCCAUGAUUUUUUAAUAAACUGAUCUUGAAUGAGCUAGUGAAAUUUCCCUUCCCUGUUUUCUAACUCUUCUCUGAAUUUUCCCUCAGCAUUAUGGGACUGACCCACAGUUCUAUCUUCUCCCCUUGGAGAGAAACCAUCUGACUUCACGCCUGCCUGGGAGUCGGUGACACACCUUUACUUCAACCCUGAGCAGUUUCUACCUCAACACAGCUGAGGUUCCACUUGAACAUUGAUACUGAGUCAGAAGAAAGGAAAUGCAAGGAAUAAUUACAAAUAUCCAACUUGAUCUUGUG